UACGGGGGGAGCAAGCGUUGUUCGGAUUUACUGGGCUUAAAGAGUUCGUAGGCGGCAUUGCAAGUAGGGUGUGAAAGCCCUCGGCUCAACCGAGGAAUUGCGCUCUAAACUGCAGUGCUUGAGGAACCUAGAGGUGAGCAGAACAGAUGGUGGAGCGGUGAAAUGCGUUGAUAUCAUCUGGAAUACCGGAGGCGAAGGCGGCUCACUGGGAGUUUUCUGACGCUGAGGAACGAAAGCCAGGGUAGCGAACGGG
rnacentral:rRNA from 1 species